AAUGAUAAGGCGACUAUUUAUUUGCCUCUCAACAGCUGUGGACUGCGCAGUUCAUCUUCGAAAAGAGAUCGCAGCAGUUGCAGCACAGCUCCAAUCAAAACUCAAAAAGAAACAGCAAAGAUGGGUUCGUCUUCAUCUUCGUCGUCCAAACAAACCGUCGAACCGGUUAGCGUAGACGAUCCAGCGUUGCAUUUCGUUCAAGCGAAUGUUGCUGCGGUAGAUUUGAUUUCCUUUGAACUGGUCGACGCCAGCAGUGGUCAACUUGGUCAAAGCGUCGACGACAAACAUUCUCUCGGUUCUUCUUAGAGGCCUUGAUCCUUCUGAAGACGAGAACUGAUGUGAAUUUAUUGGCUGAACGACACCCAAUCCCAUUUGUAGUGAAUUAGUAUCCCAACCGAUUCAUUGUACAAGUUUAGCCGAUAUCCAUACGAUGAAUUGACAAAUACAAUUGAUGUAUUAACCAAGAAA